GUUAAUGUAGCUUAAUAUCUAAAGCGAAGCACUGAAAAUGCUCAGAUGGACAUUCAAGUCCCAUAAACA
rnacentral:tRNA from 1 species